AACGAACGCUGGCGGCGUGCUUAACACAUGCAAGUCGAACGCGAAAGGGACUUCGGUCCUGAGUAAAGUGGCGCACGGGUGAGUAACGCGUAGAUAACCUGUCUUCAUGUCUGGAAUAAUACGCCGAAAGGGGUACUAAUACCGGAUAUUCUUGCUUUUCAUAAGUUAUGCAAGCAAAGGUGGCCUCUGCAUAUGCUACUGCAUGAAGAGGGGUCUGCGUACCAUUAGCUAGUAGGUGGGGUAAUGGCCUACCUAGGCGACGAUGGUUAGCGGGUCUGAGAGGAUGAUCCGCCACACUGGCACUGGAACACGGGCCAGACUCCUACGGGAGGCAGCAGUGAGGAAUAUUGCGCAAUGGGGGAAACCCUGACGCAGCGACGCCGCGUGAGUGAGGAAGGCCUUCGGGUCGUAAAGCUCUGUCAAGAGGAAAGAAGUGUACAAUGGCUAAUACCCGUUGUAUUUGACGGUACCUCUAAAGGAAGCACCGGCUAACUCCGUGCCAGCCGCUGC
rnacentral:rRNA from 1 species